UACAGAGGGGGCAAGCGUUGUUCGGAAUUACUGGGCGUAAAGGGCGCGUAGGCGGCCUUCUAAGUCGAACGUGAAAUCCCCGGGCUCAACCCGGGAACUGCGUCCGAUACUGGAAGGCUUGAAUCCGGGAGAGGGAUGCGGAAUUCCAGGUGUAGCGGUGAAAUGCGUAGAUAUCUGGAGGAACACCGGUGGCGAAGGCGGCAUCCUGGACCGGGAUUGACGCUGAGGCGCGAAAGCCAGGGGAGCAAACGGG
rnacentral:rRNA from 1 species